GCCAUACAUACACCGAACUGUAACUCGCGCCUCCAACGCUCACGGCCGCGCGUGCCCGCUCGUCCGCUUGCUAGCUCGCCCGCGCGCCGGCGCCCCCUCCCCGCCACGUGACUCGCGGCCGGGCAAGAGGCGCGCUGCGCCCCCGCUCUGCGGCGCUUCGCUGGCCGCCGCGCUCCUUCCGCGACUUGCGGCACUGGUGCGCACCUCCGCGCGCCCGGGACCCCAGCCGGCUUCUCUCCUGGCUGCUGCCUGAGAAAAGAGAAAAGCCCCCAAGGGCCCGAUCCUGAGUGUGGGGGGCGAUGGGCGCGCGGAGUAGCCUGGAAGCGACUGGAAGAGGCUGCGCAGCGUUUGAAUGGACGCGGCGCAGCUCGGACCCGGGAAGACGCCCGGGCUGUGUACCCGCGUGCGUCUGGCUCCCAUGCGGGCCUGGCACUGGAGUGCAGUGACCUCGGGGAAGUGAACCCCCGGGGCCUGUUUCCUCUGUAAAAUGGCAACAGAGAACCGACUUAGGCUCGUAGGAAGUUUUGAUGAGAGAAUUUAUGAAUCUUUCUCACCACGCUGCCUGGGCUGUGGCAUUUGAUGAAUGGUGGGUAUACAGUCAAGUCGGUCAGGAGAGCAGCAGAAAAAUUUUCACUAAGAAUUCAGCAUGUUACUAGAAGACAGUAUGGAAUCCAUGCCAAGUACUGCUUAUGAGCUGUUUUGCUUUUUACAUUUGAUAAAUGCAGAGAAGAUUGGAAGAUACCCAAAAAUAAAGGCAUUCAGAUGGAAGCACUCAUAGGUGAAGACUAAGAAUGUAUCACUAUGCUGUGGCACCCACCUGUA